rnacentral:rRNA from 1 species
GACUACUGGGGUAUCUAAUCCUGUUUGAUCCCCACACUUUCGUGCCUCAGCGUCAAUAUUGGCUUUGUGAGCUGCCUUCGCAAUCGAUAUUCUGUGUGAUCUCUAUGCAUUUCACCGCUACACCACACAUUCCGCCCACAGCAACCAAAUCCUAGCUUCACAGUAUCAACGGCGCUUUUACAGUUAAGCUGCAAAAUUUCACCGCUGACUUACAAAGCCGCCUACGCACCCUUUAAACCCAAUAAAUCCGGAUAACGCUCGCAUCCUCCGUAUUACCGCGGCUGCUGGCACGGAGUUAGCCGAUGCUUAUUCAUACGGUACUCUCAUCAAUCUAUGCAUAGACCUUAUUGCUCCCGUAUAAAAGCAGUUUACAACCCAUAGGGCCGUCUUCCUGCACGCGGCAUGGCUGGAUCAGAUUUCCAUCCAUUGUCCAAUAUUCCUCACUGCAGCCCCCCGUAGG